rnacentral:rRNA from 1 species
UUUUGGACAAUGGGCGCAAGCCUGAUCCAGCAAUGCCGCGUGAGUGAAGAAGGCCUUCGGGUUGUAAAGCUCUUUUGUCAGGGAAGAAACGGUGAGCUCUAAUACAGUUUGCUAAUGACGGUACCUGAAGAAUAAGCACCGGCUAACUACGUGCCAGCAGCCGCGGUAAUACGUAGGGUGCAAGCGUUAAUCGGAAUUACUGGGCGUAAAGCGUGCGCAGGCGGUUAUGUAAGUCAGAUGUGAAAUCCCCGGGCUCAACCUGGGAAUGGCAUUUGAGACUGCAUGGCUAGAGUGUGUCAGAGGGGGGUAGAAUUCCACGUGUAGCAGUGAAAUGCGUAGAGAUGUGGAGGAAUACCGAUGGCGAAGGCAGCCCCCUGGGAUAACACUGACGCUCAGCACGCA